UACGUAGGGGGCAAGCGUUGUCCGGAUUCAUUGGGCGUAAAGAGCGUGUAGGCGGCCAGGUAGGUCGGUUGUGAAAACUGGAGGCUCAACCUUCAGAGGUCGACCGAAACCAUCUGGCUAGAGUCCGGGAGAGGAGAGUGGAAUUCCUGGUGUAGCGGUGAAAUGCGCAGAGUAUCAGGAAGAACACCGGUGGCGAAGGCGGGUCUCUGGGCCGAAACUGACGCUGAGGAGCGAAAGCGUGGGGAGCGAACAGG
rnacentral:rRNA from 1 species